rnacentral:rRNA from 1 species
AGUGAACGCUGGCGGCAGGCCUAACACAUGCAAGUCGAACGGCAGCGCGGUGGCAACCCUGGCUGCUCGCGGCGGACGGGUGAGGAAUUCACCUGAAUCUGCCUUUCUGUGGGGUAUAACGUAGUGAAACUUACGCUAAUACCGCAUACGUCCUACGGGAGAAAGUGGGGACCGCAAGGCCUCACGCAGAAAGAUGAGCCGAUGACCGAGUAGCUAGGUGGUGGGGUAAAGGCCCACCAAGGCGACGAUCGGUAGCUGGUCUGAGAGGAUGAUCAGCCACACUGGGACUGAGACACGGCCCAGACUCCUACGGGAGGCAGCAGUGGGGAAUAUUGGACAAUGGGCGCAAGCCUGAUCCAGCCAUGCCGCGUGUGUGAAGAAGGCCUUCGGGUUGUAAAGCCCUUUUGUCCGGAAAGAAAUGCCUGGAGCUAAUACCUUCGGGGGAUGACGGUACCGGAAGAAUAAGCACCGGCUAACUUCGUG